rnacentral:tRNA from 1 species
GGGACUAUAGCUCAGCUGGUUAGAGCGCACGCCUGAUAAGCGUGAGGUCGAUGGUUCGAGUCCAUUUAGUCCCACCA